GUGCUCACUUCAGCAGCACAUGUACUGAAAUUGGAAUGAUACAGAGAAGUUAGCAUUGCUCCUGUGCAGGGAUGACAAAAAAAAUGAAAAAAUAAAAAAAAUAAAA
rfam:Myotis brandtii contig308919, whole genome shotgun sequence.